UGAUUGGAGCUCAACGGAUCCCUGAGCCCCGAGGCAGCAGGCGGGCGUUGCGCGGGGUCACCGGUGACGCCCAGCGGGCGGCUGGAAGCGGAGACUUCCGUGCUCCGGUCUAGCAGUCGGAAAGCUGGGGCCAGGCCGAGGUUGUGCGGGUUGGGGCGCAGGCAAGUCUCGAAUGCGAUAGUGAGGCUUCAGGUCUCACGGCCUCUGGGACCCACGCCCAGGUUUCCCUGCAGCCGAGUUGAUUAGUACCGGACGCUUUCGCAGGCUCCCGCAGGCUCCCUCCGUGCCUGGCUGGAAAUAGACGUCACAGUAUUUGAAAUGUCAUGUGGCCUAUGCUUUGGACCAUGGUGCGCAGCUAUGCUCCUUAUGUUACAUUUCCUGUGGCCUUCGUGGUUGGGGCUGUGGGCUACCACCUCGAAUGGUUCAUCAGGGAAAGGAUCCACUUCCUGUGGAAGAAGAAAAAAGAGCAUCUCAGAGCGCCGGGAGGAUCGUAAGCUGGAUGAACUUCUAGGCAAGGACCAUACCCAGGUGGUGAGCCUUAAGGACAAGCUGGAAUUUGCCCCUAAAUCUGUCCUGAACAGAAACCGCCCUGAGAAGAAUUAAUGGAAGACACAGGACCCUAUGGUCAACAGGGCUGUGACUGGUCCUGCCAUGAUGUCAACUCAGCCCCAGAACAUACAUUUGAUUGCUUUUGCUUAUUCUGACCUCUUCUGUACCUCACAGCCUCACAUGUACUGGCUGCACCUUUAUAGCCAGGGAGACACAGGAGCAGCUGAGGGGCCAGCCAGAGAGGAAGGCUGAAUCUAUAGAAUGGGGUCCGACUGCUCAGGCUUCCGAGCUUCUGUUGGUGCACUGUCCCGAGAGUGCUGUAAAUGAACAUGGGCUCUCAGUCUCCUGGGGAGGUGGUUUGGCCUCAAGUGUGGAUGGCUGGGAUUUGGGUAUUCCCUUUAGGAGAGAUACCCAUGUGUCUAGUUCCAGUUUGUACAGGGAAGAAUUCAGAAAUCUACCUGGUUCCCUUGACUAGUUUGCCUUACCCUUUGUGUUCAUUCUUCCUGAAAUCCUCUUGUCAGCUCAGGAAUGGGAUUCCCUGGGGAAGGAAAGCAUUUUCUGUUGUCAGAUAUGCAGGCUGUUCCUGCUGGGGCAGGGAGGAAAUGUGCCUGGUGAAUUUGCUUGGAAACAAUCACCGUCCUCUACCCCUCAUCACUUGAUUAAAGUGGCAUCUGAGAACCAUUUUGAUCGAAUCCUGUCUUCUAGAUGGCAUUUGGGGUAGGCCAGUGAUAGUGGUUAAGGACUCUGGUUGCUGUGAAUCCAGGAGGCGGUGGUUCCCAAGAGCCUUUUUACCAUCAUGAUUAGAGGCAGUAGCUCUUUCAAAGUCUUAACGCUCACAUGUGUGCCACCCUCCUUUUCUCUAUAAGAAAAUAAUAUAUAGGGCCGGGGAUUUAGCUCAGUGCUUUUGCCACCUGCUGCGCAAGCGCAAGGACCUGAGUUCGAUCCCCGGUACCAAAAAAAAAAAAGAAAGAGAAAAUAAUAUAUGCACAUUAAAGGAAAUUUGGUAGGGAUUAGAACAAGGUCACCAACACUUCCAGCACUGUAAUGCAAC
rnacentral:lncRNA from 1 species